CCGGUUGAUCCUGCCGGACCCCACUGCUAUCGGGAUAGGACUAAGACAUGCUAGUCAAGCGCUUUCUAGCUAAUGUGAGAGCGCGGCGUACAACUCAGUAACACGUGGCCAACCUGCCCUUGGGACGGGAACACCCCCGGGAAACUGGGGUUAAUUCCCGAUAGGUGAAGAAGUCUGGAAUGAUUCUUCGCUCAAAAGACGUUUAUGUCAUGCUCAUAUUCGUCGCCCAGGGAUGGGGCCGCGACCGAUCAGGUAGUUGGUGAGGCAAUGGCUCACCAAGCCUUUUACCGGUGCGGGCCGUGAGAGCGGGAGCCCGGAGAUGGGCACUGAGACAAGGGCCCAGGCCCCACGGGGCGCAGCAGUCGCGAAAAUUUUGCAAUACACGAAAGUGUGACAGAGCUAUCCCGAGUGCCAUCCGCUGAGGAAGGCUUUUACCCAGUAUAAAUAGCUGGGAGAAUAAGGAGAGGGCAAGUCUGGUGUCAGCCGCCGCGGUAAUACCAGCUCUCCGAGUAGUGUGGACGUUUAUUGGGCCUAAAGCAUCCGUAGCUUGCUAGAUAAGUCCUCUGUUAAAUCCACCGAUUCAAUCGUUGGAUUGCGGGGGAUACUGUUUGGCUAGGGGACGGGAGAGGUCGACGGUAUUUCCGGGGUAGGGGUGAAAUCCUAUAAUCCCGGGAGGACCACCAGUGGCGAAGGCUGUCGACUAGAACGCGCCCGACGGUGAGGGAUGAAAGCUGGGGGAGCGAACCGGAUUAGAUACCCGGGUAGUCCCAGCUGUAAACGAUGCAGGCUAGGUGUUUGGGCGGCCACGAGCCGCCCUAGUGCCGCAGGGAAGCUGUUAAGCCUGCCGCCUGGGGAGUACGGCCGCAAGGCUGAAACUUAAAGGAAUUGGCGGGGGAGCACCACAAGGGGUGAAGCUUGCGGUUUAAUUGGAGUCAACGCCGGGAAUCUC
rnacentral:rRNA from 1 species